ACGGGUGAGUAAUGCCUAGGAAUCUGCCUGGUAGUGGGGGAUAACGCUCGGAAACGGACGCUAAUACCGCAUACGUCCUACGGGAGAAAGCAGGGGACCUUCGGGCCUUGCGCUAUCAGAUGAGCCUAGGUCGGAUUAGCUAGUUGGUGAGGUAAUGGCUCACCAAGGCGACGAUCCGUAACUGGUCUGAGAGGAUGAUCAGUCACACUGGAACUGAGACACGGUCCAGACUCCUACGGGAGGCAGCAGUGGGGAAUAUUGGACAAUGGGCGAAAGCCUGAUCCAGCCAUGCCGCGUGUGUGAAGAAGGUCUUCGGAUUGUAAAGCACUUUAAGUUGGGAGGAAGGGCAGUAACCUAAUACGUUAUUGUUUUGACGUUACCGACAGAAUAAGCACCGGCUAACUCUGUGCCAGCAGCCGCGGUAAUACAGAGGGUGCAAGCGUUAAUCGGUAUUACUGGGCGUAAAGCGCGCGUAGGUGGUUUGUUAAGUUGAAUGUGAAAUCCCCGGGCUCAACCUGGGAACUGCAUCCAAAACUGGCAAGCUAGAGUAGGGCAGAGGGUGGUGGAAUUUCCCUGUGUAGCGGU
rnacentral:rRNA from 1 species